GAAGGUAUAGCUUAGUGGUAGAGUGCAUGCUUAGCAUGCAUGAGGUCUUGGGUUCAAUCCCCAGUACCUUCA
rnacentral:tRNA from 1 species